rnacentral:rRNA from 1 species
GUGUCAGCCGCCGCGGUAACACGUAGGGUCCGAGCGUUGUCCGGAAUUACUGGGCGUAAAGCGCGCGCAGGCGGUCCAUUCAGUCGCUGGUGAAAGCCCCACGCUCAACGUGGGAAGGUCCGGCGAGACGGGUGGACUGGAGGCAGGGAGAGGUCGGUGGAAUUCCGGGUGUAGUGGUGAAAUGCGUAGAGAUCCGGAGGAACACCAGAGGCGAAGGCGGCCGACUGGACCUGACCUGACGCUGAGGCGCGAAGGCGUGGGGAGCGAACGGGAUUAGAAACCCCCGUAGUCC